rnacentral:tRNA from 1 species
GCCUGGGUGGCUCGGUUGGUUAAGCAUCUGACUUCAGCUCAGGUCGUGAUCUCCUGUUUGGUGAGUUCGAGCCCCACAUCAGGCU